ensembl:lncRNA
GGCAGGCACAGGAGAAUACUUGCUGCUCAGUGGGCACAGGUUUCUGCUGAAAAAGUUUCUUUCUGAGAGCAGGUGUGAUCAGGGCUGAUUGACCCACUGGCAGGGUAGGUGCAGCACAUAGGGCCUGUAAAGAUGUUUUAAUUUCUUUUAAAAUCAGAAGAAAGACAUGAAUAUAAUUCAUCCAGGGUUAUAUUUGUCUUUAUACCAAUACAGUCAUAAAAUAUAAUUUUUCAUGUAUAUAUAUUCUUUGGAGGAAGGGACCCAUGAAGACAAAAGUGCCUGAGACUCCUGAAAGUCAUAAUGUGGCCCUGGGUACAGUAGGCAUCCUUAUUUUUGUCUGCCCACCAUGUAUUUCCUCUUCUUCUGGGAACUCAGAACCUCAGUGUUCCUUCAGGGGACCACUCCUAUAUUCUCAGUCCUGUGAGAUUCGGAUGGGUUUUUGUCAAUCCUGGAAUCCAAGAAUGCUCAUGUGACUCAGGCCCAGCCAAUCAGAAGCCCACAUCCCUUGCCCUCUGUGAUUGGCUCACCAUGAGUCAGUGACUCAAGUCGGGCCAAUCAGGGCCAACGAGACCCACUUCUGGGACUUUUCUUGGAACUGUGGGCCGUGAGGAAUAGAAUGUAGGCCAGAGAUGCUGGUCUCCAUCUUUGUCACUACGUGGGGGUUGAGAAACAAGCCUCCCUGGGAAACUCUGCUAAGAAGUUUAUGUUCACUGACUCACUUAAUCCUCACCACAAUAUAAGGAGAUGGGUGCUACAAUCAGUCCCAUUUCAUAGGUGAGAAAACUGAGGCACAGAGAGAGAAAGUAACUUGAAUGUGGUGGAGGUAGAAUCUGAUUCUAUGCAGUCUGACUUCAGACUCCAACCUCUAUUCUAAUGCUGAAAUAAUUUGCAUAUUAAAUUAGGCAAGUCUAUUCUCUUUUUGAAUCUCCAUUUCUUGAUCUGUAAAUUGAGGGCAUCAUACUAGAGAGACUUUGAAAGCAGUCUGGCUCUAUCUAGAUUUUCCAUGAUUUCAUGAUUCGAUAUCUGUUAACCCCCCCUGAGGAAGGUGACUAUUGAUAAAAUAUUUUCCUUGCUGCAAGAUGAAGUGAUUUAAGACAUGGGGGAGAGUGGAGAUAAAACGGGGAAACUUGACAAGUGCUUAGAAAGAGGAGCAGCAGCCCCGAAUGAAGGUCUCACCACUGCAAAAUGACAUGCCUGUGAGCCAGGAGAACCUGUGAAGUGAGGUCUCCGGAGGAGCCUCUAUUGAUUGCCAGUCUGAAUUUAGCUGAGAUAUGAGAUGCCCAGACAGAUAUCAAUGGCUGCCCCAGAAGCCCCGGCUUCUUUUCUGGCAUACGGCAGAUGGGUGUUUGAGCCAGUCUCAGCAGUUCACUGGUUUACCAUCCAUCAACCUGAGGCAGGCUCCUUGAGUCAUCUCCCCUUCUGGCUCUGCAUUGCUCAUGUCAGACAGAUGUCAUGUGCCAGAAUUGAUGCUUCCUUCAAAAGCAAGAGGACAGAAUUGGGGAGGCAUGUUAAGGGAACCCUUGAUGGUUCUGUGUAUCUCUGGGCCACUUUACACCUCCCAUUUCAUGAGGGCCUCACAAUGACCCUGAGAGGUGGGUAAUCAUAGAAACAGCUAAAAUAUAUCAAGCACAUACCAUAUUUCAGACAUGGGGAUAAAUGCUUUCAAUGCAUUAUUUCAUUGGGGUCCAUAUAACUAGAGGGACCAUAUGUCUUGGGUUACCUGGGGCUGUCCUGAUUCACACAUGCUGUUCUGGCCUUCUCAUUAAUAGCACCCAUUUCACCCUCAAAAGAAUCAUAUUUUGCACAGUAAAUUAUAUAGUCAGCUUACGUAUGGUUAUACUGCCUGGAUUAAAUUCUGGUACUGCUAUUAAGAGCUAUGUACUACCUGCCUCAAUUUCUUCCCAUAAAACGAGGCUAAUAAUAGGAAUAUCUCUCACUAUCUAACGAAGAGAUCAAUAUAGCAAAAUACAUCAGUAGAAAUUCAUAGGAUUGUGUGUGUGUGUAUGUGUGUGUGUGUAAAUACAUAUAAGCUAUGCAUAUAGCUUAGUAGACUGCCUGGCACUUAGUGAGUGUUCUAUAACAUAGUAGCUUUUUACUUCUCUAUUUUUUCACCUGUAAAAUGGCAACAAUAAUAUCUUACAUUUCUGGCAUAUAUCAAAUGCUCAGUGAAUGGUUAUGAUUAUUAGCUUAGUCUUGCUAAAUAUAAGCAUUUUUUCCCCAAGCUCCUUCUGAGGAGGAUUUCAGGUGAGAGAACUGGUUGUCUCACUGCACCCAGUGCUUUUUCUAAAUUUGUUUUUCUGGUUAAUAACAUCAAGAAGAGGCAAUGCCAUGCCCUUGGCUGUGAAAGAGGUCCUGGAGAAACUGACCUUGUGUUGAUCUGGAAGGGUGCUGGGACGGUGCUCUCCAAGGUCCUGAAGUACUGUCCCAUUUUGUAACCAGAGGACAUUUCGAGACACCUUGGUGCAUUUUGUGGGAGACAAAUAGAUGGUUUGUGUUCAGUGAGUAUCAUGGCCCUGCAAUUGAAAAAUGAGCUGAAAUAUUAAUAGGUCUUACCAACUGCUGGGUGGUUGUGGAUUUGAAAAGGCAGAGGAAGCGUUUGGGACAGGAUUGCUAUUUGGUAGAACAGAAAUGAUAGGACGGGAAAAAAGCUGUGGGCCAGGAAGAAUGGCUGCCCAAAUCGAGCAGGCUAUUACUUGAGGGCAGAGACCACAUAUUCUCUUUGCUGUUAGGUGAACCAUACCCCUUAGGAUUAACAGUAGGUCACUUGGAUCCAUGAUGAGGGAAUUCACAAGACCAGGUUGAAUUGCAUGACGGUCGCAGGCAAAAUGAUGAAAUAGGAAUGGUUUAGUUUUAGUGCCCUGUUCACAUCCUCUAUGUCAUCCCCACAACUUGGAUACAAGAACAUAUCCCCAUAUGUUGGACCUGCCUGCUAUAGCUCCAUAUUCCGUGAAAGGACCUGUAUAGUUAGAAAUACAUUUAGGUGCAAGUAAAACUCACCUAUAGUAGCUUAUAAUGAGAGGUCAGGAGGUAAAUAGUUACUGGUGUUGGUUCAGUGAGUGGCUUGGGAAUGUCAGGG